ACAAACUUUAUAAGGAAUGAAGUUUCAAAUAAUAUUCUCUUGCCAUUGCUUUGGCAAUUAAGUUGGUUGACAAAUUAUUUUGCAAUGACAAUUGCUUUUGCUAGCCGUAUAAGGAGCACAAUGACAAUCACGAAGCAAAUAAAGGAACGGUGGGAAAAUCUCUUUCCCUAUAUUAAAACAGUCUUGAUCGCCCGUUGUUCCGCACCCACCGUCUUUCUUGAAUUCAGUUGGGCAAAAUUGCCCACUCCCUAUCAUAGGCAAGAAGGGAUAAAGAACAUUAGAAUAAGAUUUACGAUAUAUUUAACUAAAGAGGGAGAAUGAUAUUCCUACCAAUAGAUUGUGUAGAAGGCAUGACUUGGCUCGGUAGAAUUGCCAAAUGCAGAAGUAAAAACAUAGUUCCAAGAUUUAUGGCAGUUGAUUUUGCCAUUGAGACAAAAUUGUUGUAGAAAUGACAGCCGAUUC
rnacentral:lncRNA from 1 species